rnacentral:rRNA from 1 species
ACUUACCUACGGGACGCAGCAGUGGGGAAUUUUGCGCAAUGGGGGAAACCCUGACGCAGCAACGCCGCGUGCGGGACGAAGGCCCUCGGGCUGUAAACCGCUUUCAGCAGGGAAGACGUCGACGGUACCUGCAGAAGAAGCUCCGGCUAACUACGUGCCGGCAGCCGCGGUAAUACGUAGGGGACGAGCGUUAUCCGGAUUCAUUGGGCGUAAAGCGCGCGCAGGCGGCCGCCUAAGCGGAACCUCUAACCCCGGGGCUCAACCUCGGGCCGGGGUCCGGACUGGGCGGCUCGCGUGCGG